rnacentral:tRNA from 1 species
GCCCGGGUGGCGAAACGGUAGACGCAGGGGACUUAAAAUCCCCCACUCGAAAGGGUAUGUGGGUUCGAGUCCCACCCCGGGCA